rnacentral:rRNA from 1 species
CCAGCACUAAUGCACCGGAUCCAAUCAGAACUCCGCAGUUAAGAGUGCUUGGGCGAGAGUAGUGCUAGGAUGGGGGACCUCCUGGAAGUCCUCGUGUUGCACCCU